rnacentral:rRNA from 1 species
UACGUAGGAUGCAAGCGUUGUCCGGAAUUAUUGGGCGUAAAGCGAACGUAGGCGGUUUCUUAAGAUUGGUCUUAAAGACCGGGGCUCAACCCCGGGAAUGGAUCGAUAACUGGGAGACUGGAGGACGUCAGAGGAAAGUGGAAUUCCGAGUGUAGCGGUGAAAUGCGUAGAUAUUCGGAGGAACACCAGUGGCGAAAGCGACUUUCUGGGACGUUCCUGACGCUGAGGUUCGAAAGCGCGGGGAGCAAACAGG